GACGAACGCAGGCGGCGUGCCUAAUACAUGCAAGUAGAACGCUGAAGAGAGGAGCUUGCUCUUCUGGAUGAGUUGCGAACGGGUGAGUAACGCGUAGGUAACCUGCCUUGUAGCGGGGGAUAACUAUUGGAAACGAUAGCUAAUACCGCAUAACAAUGGGUGACACAUGUCAUUUAUUUGAAAGGGGCAACUGCUCCACUACAAGAUGGACCUGCGUUGUAUUAGCUAGUAGGUGAGGUAACGGCUCACCUAGGCGACGAUACAUAGCCGACCUGAGAGGGUGAUCGGCCACACUGGGACUGAGACACGGCCCAGACUCCUACGGGAGGCAGCAGUAGGGAAUCUUCGGCAAUGGGGGCAACCCUGACCGAGCAACGCCGCGUGAGUGAAGAAGGUUUUCGGAUCGUAAAGCUCUGUUGUAAGUCAAGAACGAGUGUGAGAGUGGAAAGUUCACACUGUGACGGUAGCUUACCAGAAAGGGACGGCUAACUACGUGCCAGCAGCCGCGGUAAUACGUAGGUCCCGAGCGUUGUCCGGAUUUAUUGGGCGUAAAGCGAGCGCAGGCGGUUUGAUAAGUCUGAAGUUAAAGGCUGUGGCUCAACCAUAGUUCGCUUUGGAAACUGUCAAACUUGAGUGCAGAAGGGGAGAGUGGAAUUCCAUGUGUAGCGGUGAAAUGCGUAGAUAUAUGGAGGAACACCGGUGGCGAAAGCGGCUCUCUGGUCUGUAACUGACGCUGAGGCUCGAAAGCGUGGGGAGCGAACAGG
rnacentral:rRNA from 1 species